rnacentral:rRNA from 1 species
AAAUAAAUAUUAUAAAUUUAAAAGUCCUUUCGUACUAAUCAAAUAUAAAAUUAAAUAGAUAGAAACCAACCUGGCUCACGCCGGUCUGAACUCAGAUCAUGUAAGAUUUUAAAGGUCGAACAGACCUAAUUAAUUAUUUUCUGCUCCAAUUAUUUAUCUUAAUCCAACAUCGAGGUCGCAAACAUAUUUAUCAAUAAGAACUCUCCAAAUAUAUUACGCUGUUAUCCCUAAGGUAUCUUAAUUCUUACAAUCACAAUAAAUGGAUCACCUAACCAUAUAAAAAUGUAAAAAAAAAAAAAGUUCAAUAUUUUAAUAAUCACCCCAAUUAAAAAAUUAAUAAUUUAAUUUAAAAAUACAACAAAAACAAAAUAAAAAAAUAAAUUUUAAAGAUCUAUAGGGUCUUAUCGUCCCAAUUAAAAAUUUAAGCUUUUUAACUAAAAAAUUAAACUAAAAAAAAAAAUUAAUAAAGAAUUUUUUACGUCCAACCAUUCAUACAAGACCCCAAUUAAAAGACUAAUGAUUAUGCUACCUUAGCACAGUUAAUAUACUGCGGCCAUUUAAUUAAAUUCAUAGAGCAGGUUAAACCUUUAAUAAAACCUAAAGAACAUGUUUUUGAUAAACAGGCGAAAAAAUAAUUGCCAAAUUCAUAAACAAAAAAUUAAAAUUUUACUAAUUCAACCAUUAAUAAAAAAAAAAGAACAUUUUAUUUAAAAUUCAAGUAAAUAAAUAAAUAAAAAAAAAAUAAACUUUAUAAUCUUAAACGAAAUUAAAAUGAUGACAGAUUUUAAGCCUACAAGAAAAGUAUAAAAACAAAUUAUAUAUUUAAAUUAAGAUUAUCCCUAAUCUAAUAAAAAAUAAUUAUAAAAAAAAAAAAAAAAUAAUAAAAAAAACCUCCUCAAUUAAAUUGAAAUCCAAGAAAACCAGAUAUAAAAAUGAUUGAAUUUAAUGUCAAAACCAAAAAAAUAUUAAUAACCUUUAUGAAACAAAGUAAAUCAUAUUAAUUUAAAUCUCAAAUAUUCGGGAAAAAGAAAUAACUCAAAAAAAAUAAAUCAACCCUGAUACAAAAGGUACAAAAUAAAAUUCUACUUAAACAAAAAUAAUUAAAACCCCCUACAGUACAAAAAUAUUAAAAAUAUUAUUAACUAAAAUUAAAAUUAACAAAAAAAAAACUUUUUUCUAAAAAAAAAAAAAAAAAAAUUAAUUAAAUCAAU